AGGAAAACCGCGUGAAAUCAACGCGACUACGUUUUUAAUCGCAUCAGAACCGUCCAUUCUCUCACCCACCGACUUAAUCAUAGGCGCCCAUCCUCACCCAUCCCUUCGUAUAUAAACACCUGCGUUUUCUUAAUUCUCUUAAUACUGCAUUGUAGGUAUUUUGAACGCGCUGGUGCAAUGGUUUCGGUCGAGUCUAUCUUUUAGCUAAUCCUACUCUUCCUCUUCCUCACAUUUGUGAAUAUUUGCUUUAAUAGUCUUGUGUUGUUCUCUAUGGUUCCCGAUUUCAAGAUUUAAUCCAUGAUCUAGAACAUUCAAUAUGUUUUUGCUGUGAAUUACUAUCUGAUUCCUUUUAUAGGACUGUAUUCGAAUUUGUGGAUUGUGGAUUUGCCUCGGGGAGAAGAACUACGUGAUGAACGUAUGAACGGGUGUUAUUGGGUGUUAUUCUAGUUUGCUAGGUUGGAAUUAUGAUUUUCUCUACUUAGGUGUGUCAAAUUCUUCUGGAUGAUCUGUUAGCUGAAUUGAAGAUCUUUUUCGAUCUGGAAGUUUGGUUGAGCUCAUGAUCUGUUCUGUUAUCGUACUGUGGUGUUGAACAUGACCUCUUUUUUUCACGGAACUGUUUUCCUGAUUGUUCAGGCGAGAUCUCGAUUGUGAAUGCUUGCUUUUUGUCGGUGAUUGAAGGAUGAAUUCUGCUUCUUCCUAGAUCCAAAGAAACUGAGAACUCUCUUUAUCCUAGCUUGUUCUGAAACUUCUCCUAUUCUUCAACUAUUGUUCUUAUGUGUAGAGAUUUAGCUACGGUUUUGCUUGUCGAACAUGGCUUUUCUUUUACGGGACUGUUUUCCUGAUUAUUCAGGCGAUCUAGAUUGUGAACGGUUGCUUUCUGUUGGUGAUUGGAGGAUGAAUUCUGCUUUUGCCUAGAUCCGAAGAAACCGAGAACAUAUCCUUGCUUUUUUUCCCCCUAAAACUUCUAUUCUUCGACUGUUCUUAUCAUUAUUAUUGUAGGGGGAUUUAGCUUCGGUUUUGCUUGGUUUGCAGUGUAUUUGGGAGGUUGGAGAUUUGUAGAUUGGAGAUAUUGGAAAGAAUUUUCGGCAAUUUUCGAUGACUAGAUAUCUAAUUUCGUAAAACAGAACAAAUCCUCUACUUUUACCCUUUUUUAGAUUCAAUUAUAAAUAAAUUAUAAAUCAUGCAUUUGAAUUAAAAUGUGAAUCUAUAUUCUAUGCAGCGUUGUCCAUCUUGAAGCGUGGUUGUUUUGAGUGCGACACAUACAGAGGAUAGAGAUCAAGAACAGUUUUUCUAAACUUUCUUUCCCUGCAUUUUUUUCCCAACAUACUGAGCUAGCAUUAUGAAUUAAAUGUGGAUGUGUUUCCUAUGCAGUUUUGUCUGAUCCUGGUCGAUAUGUUUCUUGCACUUGCCUGGUUCAUUUGUUUUAAGUUUUGCUCUUUUUUUUUUAAAUUUAAAUAAUUAGCUUUGGUUCUCUUUGUUGUUUCCUUUAUAAUUCUGUCUUUCUUGGAAAUCGGUUUAUGUUUCUCUUUUUUGCCUUAGGAGCCAAUUGAAGGAUAUGGGAUUGCACUUAGGCGAUGUGUCCAAGAUUCUGAAAUUGAUAAUUCCCUUCUAACAUAUGCAUCAAUUUUUUUUAGGAUUAAAUAAUAGUUUGAUUACGGAGUUAUCUUGUUUAUGGCCUGCAAUGCUUUAAAUUGAUUGCAGAAAUCUGGAAUAAUGGAUAGAAGAUAUAUGGCAGGAAGGCUCAAAAUAAUACAGGCUCAUAAUCUGAUUAACUUUCCUUUUUUAACUAUCUUGCGUUAAUGGUCAUGCAAAAUUAAAUUUGAACUUGUUCUCUUGCAGUGUAUCGUUUUGGUCAAGUAACAUUGUACCUGGAGUUUGGACGCACUGGAUCUCUUGUCUCUUGGUUUUUUAUUUUUUUGCUAGUUCAUAUGCAUAAGUAUGCAGAUAUCAAUUGAAUUUCGUUUGUUCAUUUGCAGUGUUGUCUUCCAAUCAUACUUUUGGCAACAGGCUUUCAUGUAUAAUGGUGACUUCUAACUGGCCUUAGUGUUCUCUGUGUCUAGCGUCUUGUUCCUGUGCAUUUCAUUUCUUUGAUGUUCUUCAUAUUGCUUGGGGGAGGAUUGUUCUUUGAUUUGUUUUUCCUGUGAAUUUUUAUAGAACUAUUAUUGGAUUUGUGGAUUUUGGAUUUACUUAGCUGCUGAUCAAGAUGCUUCUUUCUGGAUUCGAUAAUCUUGGGAAUGGUUACAGUUUCACACAGUUUCACAGGGAAAAGAACCAGGCGAUGAACAUAUGGACAGGGUGCUAUUCUUGUUUGCUGGAUUGGAAUUGUGAUUUUCUCUCUUCAGGUGUAGCGAAUUAUGUGGAUGAUGUGUGUGUUGGCUUCAUUUAAGAUCUUUCUUGACCUGGAAGUUUGGUUGAGCUUUUCUAAUUUGAUGAUCUGGUUCAGGGAUAGUUGUGUUGUUUGAACAUGGCUUUUCUUUCAUGCAGCUGUUCUGUUGAUUGUUAAGGUGACAUUAUCUGGAUUAUGAAUGCUCGCUUUUUUGUGUUGGGGUUUGGAGGAUGAAUUCUACUUUUGCCCAGAUCUGAAGAAACUGAGAACUCUCUGAAUCCUUGUUUUUUCUGAAAAUUCUCCUAUUCUGUACUGUUCUUAUUCCCGGAGAGAUUUAGAUUUGCUUGUUUUUGCUUGGUUUGCAGUGUAUUUGGGAGAUUGGGAAAUGGGAAUUGUAGAUUGGAGAUACUGGAAAGAAUAUUUUGCAAGACCCGAGGACCAUAUAUCUAAUUCCAUAAAAGCAAUCUGAUUCUCUAUACAUUUUAUUUCCUUGAUCAUUUAACUAAAUAUUAAAGCAUGCAUUGUGAAUUAAAAUGUAGUUAUAUUCUAUGCAGCAUUGUAGCCUGGUUGUUGAGCACGAAGCAUACCGUGAAUGGAAUCUAGUUUCCUAAAAACAGAUUUUCGAACUCUUCUUUCCUUUUUGUUCAUUCCAACCUACUGUGCUUGCAGCAUUUGAAUUAAAUGUCGUUGGUUUCCCGUGCAGUGUUGUCCAAUCAUGGGUGUUGAGUGCAUCCUGGUGAAAUGCUUUUGCACUUGCCUGGUUCAUUUGUUUAAUUUCGUUUUUUUUAAUUUUAAAUUCGCUACUGUGUUGUUUCCUUUGUUAUUCUCUCGUGCUUGGAAAUCAGUUUUUGUUUCUCUUUUCCUUAGGAACCAAUUGAAGGGUAUGGGAUUGCACCGAGAUCGUUCAAGAUUCCGAGAUUGAUAUGUCCUUGUUAUUCUUUUUUCUUUCUAUCCCCUAAAUAUUAUAAAAAUAACUUGAUUAUAUAGUUGUUUCACGUUGUUUAUGACCUCCAAUGCUUUUCAUUGGUUGCAGUGAUUUAGAAUUUUGGAAAAGGAAGAUAUGAUUUGGAAAAAAAGCUCUGGAAAAAUAAUACAGGCCCAUGAUCUAGAUUAAACAUGUCUUCUCUACUGAAUUUUUCUGCCAUAUUUUUUUUUAGCAUUAAUGGUUUGUGCAAAGUUCAAUUUGAACCUGUUUCCUUGCAGUGUUACGAUCGUUAACAUUGUCCGUGUAACCGAGUUAUAUGUGGAGUUGGUGACUUGUACCUGGAGUUUGAAUGCCCUGGAUCUUUUCUAUUGUCUCUUCUAUUUUCUUUCCAUAUAUUUAGUAUGAACAUGUCAAUUCCUGUUCCUUUGCAGCGUUGUCUACAAUUGGUACUUUUGACUACCAUACUCAUUUAUAUGGUGACUUCUACCUCGGUAUAUUGUUAGUUUUGAGAAUGAUGAUAGGCCCAACCAGUUGUUCCCUCAUCCUAUUUGUUGACACACUUUCAAGAUAGGAGAGUAAGCGUUCAAUGAGCACUUAUUGGUCGUUGUUGACCAUAUAUGCUGACAGUAUCAUAUAUACUCAAUUUUGCGUUUUAUUUCUUUUUAUUUUUGGCCGAGCACAUAAAAGUUAAUGGAUUUGAUCACGCGAAUUGUAUAGUUGUUUAUGCUUCCAGCUAUCUCUCAGCAGAAUCACGCAGUGCAUUGGUUGUUGGGGGUGAUCAGUUGUCAGUCUCACUAAUAAGGAUAAGAGGAUUUGAUUUUAGUUCAACUUUUUUUGGUGGUGUUUUCUCUUUGGAUGAAGUAUUGGAAUUUGAAUCGUGAACAUGCUUUUGUGCAGUUAAACGACCAGAGUGUAUUGGAGAUUUACUUUGGGGGUUCAGGAGCAAGAUUUUGUCUACACACAGUUUUCCCAACCAAACUUUGCCAUUUGUUCUCACCUUGUGUUUUUGUUUGAUCUGGUCUUCCAUCAGUUUGACAAGCUGUUUCUUUCAUUUAUUUUUGUUUCUUUCAUUUAUUUUCAGCUCUCUGCAUACGCGUUUGCCAUAAUUGGUCACACUACCCUUAAUUGGAGAAUUUUGCUCAACGCCGUGAGGGGUCUGAAUAAUGUUAAACUGUUAUGGAUUGUUGUGAUGGCCUUAAACUGUUCUUGCAUGUGAAGUAUUGAAGGAUUUUCUGUUAUUAGGUUUUGUCUUGAUUUUACUUCAGUACUAAGGGGAACUGUAACCAUGAUGUCUUUGAUUUCACUUUCUAUUAGGGAAAUUGCAAUUAUGAUUUUGUUUUUUGUGCAUAACUAGAAACUUCUUUUCUGUUCAUCUCUUUCACUCUUCCAUGUUGAGUACCAUGUGUUUGGCAGCAUCUGGAAAUUGUAAGUCGACUUUGAAAUAUUGAAGGACCUCUUCUUGGAUGGUUUAACUAGGAUUUUGUACCUAAAUGAGUGACUUCUGAAUGGUGGUUUUCAAAUUUUCGUCCUAUAGUUUUUAAAGCUUCCCCUUGUCUGGAUUUUCAACUUAAUCUCGUCUUUUGUUCUAUGUUUGGCUCUCUUAUAUAUUCCGCAGGAACAGGGAUUUGUAUUUGGACUUGGGUAUUGAAGGACCUAAGCAUAACUGGUGACUGGUUUUUCUGGAUCUUCACCUUAAUCUCUUUUGUUUUUCUACGGUUCAGUGUCUUAUGUUUGGCAGGAGCAUGGAUUUGCAAUUGGACUUUCUAUGGGUUUUAAAUCUUCAACCUAAACAUCACUUUGGAGUACUGAAGGAUUUAAGUAUAAUUGGGACUGUUUUUAAAGCUGCUGCAUUUUUGUUUGGAUUUUCAAAAAUUUUCUCUUUCGUUUGGCCGGAUAAGGGAUUUGUAAUUGGACUCUGGGUGUUAAGGACGCAAGUAUAACUGAUGACUUUUAAUUGGUUAUUAUUAUUUUUUUUUUUUUGUGGAUUUUCACCAUGAUUUUUUCCAUUCUUCUACGGUUCAGUGUCUUAUGUGUGGCAGGAGCUGGGGUUCAAUUUGGAGUAUCGAAGGAUUUAAAGUAUAACCGGGACUGGUUAUUAUUACGUUUGUCUUUCAUGUUCAGCAGGUUUAGGGAUUCAUAAUUGAAUCGGAAGUAUCCUCUUCCGAUCUUCUACAUUUGGCUAAUAUAUUCAUCAGGUUUAGGUGUUGAAGGAUCUAAGUGUAACUGGUGACUUCUAACUGGUUAUUAAAACUUUUUUUUGGGUUUUUAUCUCUCUCUCUUUUGUUCUUCUAUGGUACUGUUGUGUUUGGCAGGGAUUUGCAAUUGGAAUUUAAAUGUUCAACUCAAUGUCACUUUGGAGUAUUGAAGGAUUUGAGUAUAACUGGGUCGGGUUUUUAAAGCUUUUGUUUGGAUCUAAUAUUAAAAGCUUUUUCUUUCUUUGGAUUUUCAACUUGACUUUUUCUCUUUCUCUCUUCUAACAUUUGGCACUCAUAUUCAGCAGUAUCUGGGAUCUGCAAUUGGAUUUUGGUCUUGAAGACCUAAGUAUAACUGGUGAUUUUUAACUGGUUAUUAUAAUUUUUCUGUAUUUUCACCUUAAUCUUGUCCAUUUUUCUAGUUAUAUUUGGCAGGAGCUGGGAUUUGCAUUUGGAUUUUAAAUGUUCAAUUUAACAUCUCUUUCGACUUCCUAUGGGUUUUAAAUAAUUCAGCUUACCAUCUCACUUCAACUUAACCUCUCUUUCGACUUUCUAUGGGUUUUAAAUAUUCAGCGCACCACCUCAAUUCCUUCUAUGGUUUUAAAUAAUCAGCUUAGCAUCACUUUGGAGUAGUGAAAGAUUUACAGCACAACUGGUGACUUCUACCCCCAACACCAUACAGAACAAAAAAAAGAAUACACUAGAACCACUCACGUCUAUUCUACUCUUCUACAUCUGUGAACCGCCCUUUUCUGCUUAUUGAUUGCAUGUCGGUUUUUGUCUGGAUUACUUCUACAUUUAUUUUGAAUGCAGGAUCUUAAGGUGGUCAGAUACACCCGGUUAGACAUGGUCAUUUGUUUUGUGUUAUGAUUAUAUGCUUCUUGGUUUUAAGAUCUCUAUUCAGUUCUUUGUGAUUUGUCAAGUUAGUAGAAUUCUUUGUGAAAAUGCCUCUAAAAUUUUAUAAUGUAGGUUAGCACGGUAAGUAACUGAAGUUUGAAAUGGAAAUGAUGCUCUUAUUCAUCUAUAUUAAUUUUCCUCCUCGGGGGACUUGAUUGCCUCUUAACUUUGCAUGGAAUUUUGUUGUAGCCUCGGGUGAAUUUUGGUGAGGGAAUGUUCUUGUUGCUAGGGAUUUGGAUAUUACCGUGGUAGCAAAGGGUUCAGGAGUUUUUUGUUAUUUAAUAAUUCAUUAUGAAUUACAAAGUUUUUUUUUUAAUCGAGGUUUACUAUCAUUUUGCGAACUUGUUUCUGUGUGGUUCGCGAAUCCCAUUUUUGGCUGAUUACUAUCUUGGGGGAACGAAGAUCACAAUGGCAUUCAGGAGUUGGUAGCUGUUUCUGAAAUAUGAACUUUUCUGAUAUGCCUUUUGUAUUUUUCUCUUGUUUGGAGAAUUGUGGACCAACUUCUGUGCAGUUCGAGUGAGCACUCUUGUAUGCAGAGAAAAGGGUGUUCAGGGUAUGGUUGGGGUGAUUGGUGGUUCUACAGCAGUUAUGGUGGUUUUUUUUUUCCUGGGCGCAGGAUAAUUGGUUUUAAUUCUUUGAUUCUUGUCUCUGUCUCGCAUCUUUAUUGUUAUUUGAUAUCUGUAGUCUGGUGAAGAUACUUUCCAUGUGCAAAUGUAGUGGUUGCUGUAGUAUGCCAUGGUUCAAGUGCACCCCUCAUCUUCUCUAGCAGAAGAAGUAAAAGCAGAACGAUGUUUUUAAGUGCUUUCUGGGAUGCUUGAAGACCUUUUGAAGGUGGAUUUUGCAAUAACUGAUGCGACAUCAUUGAAGAUUAUUGAUGGUUCAGUUCUGUUGCUUAGCUGCUUUGGUGUAUGUGUUCGCAUAGCUCCAAUAUUUUGUCGUCCUCGUGUAUAUGCAUGCUGAUCUAUUCAAAUGGUAUUUAUUCUUGCACGCUGAACUUGAAAUCUGCUGUUUUGACCCGAGUUGCUAUUUGGAUUAUGUUCUUACCUAAUAAAAUUCGUCCGAGUUGCUCUA